rnacentral:tRNA from 1 species
GCCCCCGUCGUUCAAUGGAUAGGACGCAAGCUUGCGGAGCUUGCGAUGUCAGUUCGAUUCUGGCCGGGGGCA